rnacentral:rRNA from 1 species
AUUGAACGCUGGCGGCAGGCCUAACACAUGCAAGUCGAGCGGAGCGGCGGACGGGUGAGUAAUGCCUAGGAAUCUGCCUGGUAGUGGGGGAUAACGUCCGGAAACGGGAGCUAAUACCGCAUACUCUCAGAUGAGCCUAGGGCGGAUUGGUUAGUUGGUGGGGUAAAGGCCUACCAGGGCCACGAUCCGUAACUGGUCUGAGAGGAGGAUCAGCCACACUGGAACUGAGACACGGUCCAGACUCCUACGGGAGGCAGCAGUGGGGAAUAUUGGACAAUGGGCGAAAGCCUGAUCCAGCCAUGCCGCGUGUGUGAAGAAGGUCUUCGGAUUGUAAAGCACUUUAAGUUGGGAGGCGUUACCAACAGAAUAAGCACCGGCUAACUUCGUGCCAGCAGCCGCGGUAAUUC